UUUGUAUCAAAUUUAUUUAAAUUUAUAAUAAUGAAGCCAACUUUGUUAGUACUAAAAGUUAUUUAAAUUUUGUAUAUAUAUAUUAUUAUUUGUAUUGUAUAAUUAGUAUAUGUAUUAUAUUUAAAUGUUAAAUUUGUUGUUUUAUAUUUAGAUAAAGAUUUGUGUAUUAUCAUUGUAAAUUAUAAUUUUAAAGUUUAUUGAACUGUGAUGUGUAGUUUAAUAUUUUUUGUUUGAUGUUUAAAUAUUUAACUAUAGGAGGCACAGUUGUUAUAUAUGUACCAAGUAAAAAUAGUAAGAUUAUUUUAUCUAAAUUAAUAAAUAAAUAUUCAAACUACAAAAAAAUGAAUAUUAUGAAGUAUUUAAAAAUUAAACUAUUUAACUGAUAUGAAUAUUUAAAAUUAUGCAGAUUUAUUUGAAUAUUAAAAUUACAUAUAUAAUUUGUAAUUUAUUUUUUAUGACAUAAAGAUUCAGUAAGUAAAUUACCGCAAUUAAUAUUUAAAAUUUAAUAUUUAAUAUUUGUUUAAUUAAAAGUAACCUAUAUCAAAAUCAUAAGUAUUAUUAUAAAAUACUAUUUAUAAAAAUAUAAAUAUAUUGUUAAUAAAAUUAUCGUAUUUUAAAUGCGUUUAUUAAAUGCGUUUGUCUAAGAAAAAUAUUUAAGAUUAUUCUUGUAUAUAUAUUUAUAAAUUAAUAAUUCUAUUUUAAAAAUAAAAUCCUCAAUUUACACUUUCAAAGUAGCAUAGUAAUUUGUUAACUAAUUAUUAAAGCGUUCCAUAGAAAUUUUUUAAAUUAAAACAAAUUAAAUAAGUUAUGAAAUAAAAUAAAAAUUUUAAUAAAAAUUAAAUAAUUAAAAUAGGGCAAGUCCUACUCUCCUUUACAAAGAGAAUGUCAAUAAUAAAAUACAUAAUUGUAUGUUUGAUUGGGGCAAUACUAUAUUUAUUUAUAUAGCAUAAGAACUAUAAUUAUUGAAAUAAUAAAAGGUUCGAGCAGGUUAACAAGCAUUAAAACUAAAUGUGUUUCAUCGUCUACUUAUUGUUGAAAUCAAAUUGAUUGUUCAUCAAAAGUACAAUUCGUUAGUUGGGUUAAAAUCGUUGUAAAGCAGAUUUGUUUAUAUAUUUAAUUAUUAUAAAAUGUAAAAAGUAAUAUUAGUACGCAAGGAUUGAUUGU
rnacentral:rRNA from 1 species